rnacentral:rRNA from 1 species
GACGAACGCUGGCGGCGUGCUUAACACAUGCCAGUCGAACGGUGAAGCGCCUUCCUUUUUGGUGGGUGUGGAUGAGUGGCGAACGGGUGAGUAACACGUGAGUAACCUGCCCCCUUCUUCUGGAUAACCGCAUGAAAGUGUAGCUAAUACGGGAUAUUCUGGGUCUGUCGCAUGAUGGGUCUGGGACAGGUAUUGUUUCGGUGGGGGAUGGGCUCGCGGCCUAUCAGCUUGUUGGUGGGGUGAUGGCCUACCAAGGGGGUGGCGGGUAGCCGGCCUGAGAGGGUGGAGGAGCUCGCCGGGGAUGAGGAACGGCCCAAACUGGUAUGGGACGCAGCCCUGACUAAUAUGGGAGGAUGCGGUGGGGAAUGUUGCAGAAUGGCCGCGUGAGUGAUGGAGCCCUGCGGCUUGUGAGACUCUUUCGUUAGUGAAGUAGGCCUGUCUUGUCUGUGAGUGGAAUGACGGUAGCUGAAGAAGAAGCGCCGGCUAACUACGUG